CACUCCUAGGGAGGCAGCAGUGGGGAAUAUUGCACAAUGGGCGCAAGCCUGAUGCAGCCAUGCCGCGUGUAUGAAGAAGGCCUUCGGGUUGUAAAGUACUUUCAGCAGUGAGGAAGGUGGAUAUGUUAAUAGCAUAUUCAUUUGACGUUAGCUGCAGAAGAAGCACCGGCUAACUCCGUGCCAGCAGCCGCGGUAAUACGGAGGGUGCGAGCGUUAAUCGGAAUUACUGGGCGUAAAGCGCAUGCAGGUGGUUUGUUAAGUCAGAUGUGAAAGCCCGGGGCUCAACCUCGGAAUUGCAUUUGAAACUGGCAAACUAGAGUACUGUAGAGGGGGUAGAAUUUCAGGUGUAGCGGUGAAAUGCGUAGAGAUCUGAAGGAAUACCGGUGGCGAAGGCGGCCCCCCUGGACAGAUACUGACACUCAGAUGCGAAAGCGUGGGGAGCAAACAGGAUUAGAUACCCUGGUAG
rnacentral:rRNA from 1 species